UACAGAGGGUGCGAGCGUUAAUCGGAAUUACUGGGCGUAAAGCGUGCGUAGACGGUAGCGUAAGUCAGAUGUGAAAGCCCCGGGCUCAACCUGGGAAUUGCAUUUGAGACUGCUCUGCUCGGGUGCGGAAGAGGGAAGCGGAAUUUCCGGUGUAGCGGUGAAAUGCGUAGAUAUCGGAAGGAACACCAGUGGCGAAAGUGGCUUCCUGGUCCGACACCGACGUUCAGGCACGAAAGCGUGGGGAGCAAACAGG
rnacentral:rRNA from 1 species